rnacentral:rRNA from 1 species
CUACGGAAGGUCCGGGCGUUAUCCGGAUUUAUUGGGUUUAAAGGGAGCGCAGGCGGAGAUGCAAGCGUGACGUCAAAUUUCGGGGCUCAACCCCGUCUCGCGUCGCGAACUGCGUCCCUUGGUUGCGGGAAGGGGAGGCGGAACUCGUGGUGUCGCGGUGGAAUGCAUAGAUAUCACGAAGAACUCCGAUCGCGAAGGCAGCCUUCCGGCCCGUCAACGACGCUCAUGCUCGAAGGUGCGGGUAUCAAACAGGAUUAGAUACCCUGGUAGUCCGCACAGUAAACGAUGGACACCCGCGGUUUGGCCUAUAUGGCUGAGCCGCCAAGCGAAAGCGUUAAGUGUCCCACCUGGGGAGUACGCCGGCAACGGUGAAACUCAAAGGAAUCGACGGGG